UGCUGGGCCCCGGGGCAGCGGAUUCAGCGCCCGCCUGCCCCCACCCCGACCCUGACCACUCACUGGCCCGGCUGGCUCGUUGAGAUCACGCCUGAUGGACGGGGCCGGCGGGUGGGGCGGCGGUUAACGUUCGGCCUCUGUCUCCUGGACCCUGAGACCUGUGCAGGAAGCUAAUUAAAGCCCGGAGACGUGGGCUGAGCGUGUCGACCUCCCCCGACGCCAGCUGCUGGUUUACCGCGGAUGCUCCUGGCCCCCAUCCAAGGAUGCCAGGCCAACCACAGGACAGCCUGCAGACAGAAUCCUUCACGGCUCACAGGCCUGUCCUCACGCCCAGGCCCCCAGGUUAGGGCUGCUAAACACCAUCAGCGGAGGCUGACACCUCAAGCCGGGGCUCGAACAAGUGGCCGGCAGCACAUGCACGGAUGGGCUCCAGCUCCUGGGACCCGGGCUCCUGACACGGCACCGAGCUGCCCGAGAAUGGAUUUCUGAGCAGCCAGCCUUGGACAGCACCGCUCAGGCCCACGCCGGCACUCCCUGGUGUUCAGCACUGGGGCACAGAGGGUGCUGCUGGUCUCCAUUGUCCCUGCAAUGUCCCAGGAUGGAGCCCAGAGGCCUUGGUGACCACCUGUGACAGUAGCCGAGGGGAUGUGGACCAGGCAGGUCAGAGAAGCCUCAGGGUCAUGGAAGUGGCCAGGAGACAUGGCCCAGUCCCUGAUGGCGUCCCCUGCCCACCCUGACCCAAGGCCUGCCAGGCCCUUCCUCACACAGGAAGCCUGGAGGAGGGCGAAUGCAGCACCAUUGCCUCCCAGGGAGUGGCUCAGACCCACUGACGGUAAACAGCUGUUCGUUUCUUGGACAGCAAAAUAAAUUGUUUUAACAGCAGAGUCGUUCUUCUCUGAGCGGCUGGGGGCUUACACCUUGGAGUCCCACACCCCCCAGCUGGCCUUCAUCUGGA